AGGAAGCCAACCGCGAACACUUGUGAAGC
rnacentral:sRNA from 1 species